AUGUCUGAUUAGCUAGUUGGUGAGGUAAAGGCUCACCAAGGCGACGAUCAGUAGCGGGUCUGAGAGGAUGAUCCGCCACAUUGGGACUGAGACACGGCCAGACUCCUACGGGGAGGCAGCAGGUGGGAAUUUUGGACAAUGGGGGCAACCCUGAUCCAGCCAUGCCGCGUGCGGGAAGAAGGCCUUCGGGUUGUAAACCGCUUUCGGACAGAAAGAAAUCGCACGGGCUAAUACCCUGUGUGGAUGACGGUACUGUAAGAAGAAGCACCGGCUAACUACGUGCCAGCAGCCGCGGUAAUACGUAGGGUGCGAGCGUUAAUCGGAAUUACUGGGCGUAAAGCGUGCGCAGGCGGACAUUUAAGUCAGACGUGAAAUCCCCGGGCUUAACCUGGGAAUGGCGUUUGAAACUGGAUGUCUAGAGU
rnacentral:rRNA from 1 species